AUCAUCAUUUUUCUUCAGCAAAAACGCCAUGGGAGGUCUGAAAGCUGCUGGUUUUUCAUACUUUGACAUAUUUUUUAUCAAGCCACUCGGGGAUCGAAGGAAACGUCGGAGACCCGAUCACACUAUCGAAGAAAUCACAUUGGUAUAGUUAGACGUUUCGUUUUGUGUAUGGCAUGUAUAGGAACUUGGUUUCUUUUGAUAUGAUAUGAUCAAUGAAUGAUGUGUAAAUACUUGCUAGUGAUUAGCUAAUAGAAUGGCUGAUGAUAUACA